UGUUCCUCUCCCGCUCGCUCGCCGCUGUCUCCAAAUCCCUCUCCCCUCUCCGCGCCAGGAUCCCGCAACCCCGAUCCGCGCCGAAGCCCCAGCCGCUCUCGACCGGGCGGCCCGUGUCUCCGCCGCGCGCGGACUCCGCGUUUCCGCCACCCCCGCGUCGCCCGGCGACCCGGAGCCGCGCGCGCCCUGUGGGCGGUGGGUCGGAAGGCCUCCGUCGUUGCGCGGAGGGACGACCGGGGCGGGGUUUGAAUCGAGGCGACGAUGUGGCCUCCCCGCAUCCCCUGGCGCCACGGGGGCGUUGGCGGGGGGCCGGGCGGCGCCGAGGGAGGCUGCCGGCGCGGCGACGGCGGUGCCGGGCGUGUGCCGCUGGAUCUCGGCCUUGCCUGGACCGUGGGCCGCCAGUCGCGACGUUGAGCAGUAUUUCUAUCGUUAGUAUCAGGAGAGGAAUGCUCGUACACAAGUAUCUAAAGAGCAAAUGAGGUCAGCACCACUCACUGAGUUUUGAAGAAUGCAUUUUGCUUAUCCCUCCACAGUUGGUUAGAUUGCACGUUCUCAUAGCACAUAUCAAUCUUUAAUUAAAAGUCAUUUUCUUCAAUCAUUCCCUUUCCCUCUUACCCCUUUUUACGUGAGUGGCUUCUCUUUUUUAUGCUUAAGAUGGCUGCUUUGAGUGUUAAGAGACAAACACAACUAAAUAGCAAUAAUAAAAACUUCCAUUAAGAAAGGAUUUUGCAUUGAUGCUUUAACCUCUUGGAACCUGUUAUAUUGUAUCCCAUUUGUGAACCCAGUAUUUGUGGAGCAUUCUAAGGAAAGAUGGAUAUUUCUCGAACAGUUUCAGCGGAUAAUACACAGUUAGAGCCUGGUUGUAGAUAGGUAUUUCUCCUAGAAUGUUUGUGGUGUUCAAAUGAUCAUCGAGUAAAAGCCAAGCGAAGAACUUAAAUUUGCGCACGCACUUGCUUUUUCAAAUCCAUUUCAAGGGCAAAGGUGGAUGUAUAGCACUGAAACUGAAUUUAUAAAAUCUCCGAACAGCAUAUAUUAAAUUUAGGUGAUCCCAAUAUGUAAUUCCGCAAAUCAUCAGGACCAUAUGUUCUCUGAGCCUGUCCAAAUCUACCUGCAGGUUGAGAUAUUCAUUAUAUGCUUGUCUUGAUAUGAGUUGGAAAAGCUCUGCCAAGUUAAAGGGCCUCAUUUAAGGAAUUAUUGUAGCAUGUUGCUAGACCUACUUGGUAGGGAACAUAUUGCAUCCACUAAGGAUUAUUCAGGUUGUUAUUUUAGCUAUUCAAAUUAUGAAUCUAAAAACAAUAAUCACAUACAAGAGGCUAUGAUAAAUGAUAUGUAUGCUUCAAAUUUUAAUGCCACUAGCAUCAUACAAAAUGCACCUAUGUACUUUCAUAUAUUGCAUGGCAACAAGUUAUCCUGCUGUUGAACAAUUGACAAGGCUGAACUGAUGACUUUAUCAAUGCUAGUUAUUCGGGAUGAAGAAUGCUGCUGAGCUUAUUCAGCAAUAGGUUGACGACAGUAAUAGAAAGUAGGGCAAAAAGACCAUAUGGAAUCCCACCUUGUUAGAUUGUUCUCUUGCAACAUUAAAUUCUGCAAUCUUGUGUGAUGGAUGUCUUCAUAGCUCCUCUUGAUCUCUUUUCUCUAUGGAGCUCUAUCAGGUUGAGGGGCAUGAGCCCCUCUAUCUCCACGUUUGAUCCUCCUCUUAAAGCUCUAGUGACUGCCAGACGUAUCUAGAUGCAUUCCAAGUUCGGCUUGAUGAAUCAUAAGAAUAAAUUAAGUUCUUGAGGCUUGAUGAAUGGAACAACUCCUCUGGAGUGUCUCCCUCUGUGUUGAUGGAGUUGAGAUCCAAAUAUUCAAACUUGAUGAACUCGAUGAACUUGAAGCGACAAGCAAUAGUCCGGGUUCCUCUGUUAGAUUUGUUAGUUUUAGGUAGUGUUGUUCAAGCGGUAGAGUUAGUUCUACCUAUCUUAAUUGUGCGAGUAACUUCUAUAACUAUUGGAGUAUAUUUGGGAUAUUCUCUAUGAUAGGUAGGUUAAGAUUGUAUCCAGAUUCUACCAUACCGUAGGAGAGGCUUGCCCUCCAAGUCAUGUACCCCAAUAUAUACCGGCCUUGGUCUCAAUGCAAUACAAUCAUCCACACAUUAUACUGAAUUCUAUUCUCCUACAAUAACAAACCUACCGAUGUGCAUGUCGCGCUAGUUGUUGUUACCAGCAUAUAUCAAGUUAUCAACAAAGGUGCAUCUCUCACAAGGGUUCAAUGAAACCAACAGCCAUCCAGUUUACAUGGUAAUAGAGCCGCUCUAUUAUCUCAUAUAUGGUGGGCUCCUCUUCCAACCCAGCCCUAGUCCGUGUCUCUACUUUCGGCCACCCAGUGACGGAGGAGCUCACCACAAAUAACCACCUGCUUUUUUUUUUUUACCACCGGCACAAUGGAGUUCAGACUUACCUAGCCAGUGAAGUACACUACCAUGUACUGACCUUUGACAACAUGGUAUAAUAAUAAUAAUAAUAAUAAUAAUAAUAAUAAUAAUACAUUAAGCAUCAGAUUUGUUUUAUAACAAUGAUGCAUAUAUAGAUAGCAAGUGUGUUGCAUCUAAAGUCUUGUUUGGGGAUCUAAAAUAUGGUCUAAAAGCCCAGUUUAUUCGAGGCUAUGAUGGGGGCUAAAUAGGUGUGCCCCUUCCAGGCCUAAAAUCAUUCUCUCAAGCUUGGGUCCAGCCUAAUUCAUCUUUCUAUCAGUUUGAAAUGUUUUUGGGCUAAUUUCUAUAUCUCUCCGCCUUUUGGAUGUCACAUUGUAACAACAGACAGCUUCAUAUAUUUUCCUGUGAUGCAGGGGCCAGGAUAAUUUUAUUCCAUUACUAUCUACUAACAUUUUGUUUAUGUGCAACUGAAAGCAUCAUUUCAACAAGAAUGGAGAAGCUAGCAGAAGAAUAUGGUUGCAAGAGAAUUAGACAAGGUAUAUGCCCAUAUAAGGUUAUUGUGAUCAACAAGUCAAAUGCUAAUCUGUAUACCAUAUAUAAACGGAACCCACUAAACCUCAUUUAUUGUUUCCACAUUGAGCCACAUCAUCUACAAGAUUAUUAUGUCCAUCCAAUUUUAAGCCCAAGUUCAAUCAUAUUCGUCAUUCUUCAUCCGCGUUCAGGUCUUUCCAUCUCCUGUAGUCUGGCUGUAGGUUUUUUAUUUGCCAACUUAUGUAAAUUAAGAAGAUUGGGUCACUAUAUUUUGUAUUUUUCCCAAAAAAUGUGGUUAUAAGAAUUUUGUUCACUGAUGAAAUUUAAAGCCUUUAUUUACA